rnacentral:rRNA from 1 species
AAAUUGAAGAGUUUGAUCAUGGCUCAGAUUGAACGCUGGCGGCAGGCCUAACACAUGCAAGUCGAACGGUAACAGGAAGCAGCUUGCUGCUUUGCUGACGAGUGGCGGACGGGUGAGUAAUGUCUGGGAAACUGCCUGAUGGAGAGGGAUAACUACUGGAAACGGUAGCUAAUACCGCAUAACGUCGCAAGACCAAAGAGGGGGACCUUCGGGCCUCUUGCCAUCGGAUGUGCCCAGAUGGGAUUAGCUAGUAGGUGGGGUAAAGGCUCACCUAGGCGACGAUCCCUAGCUGGUCUGAGAGGAUGACCAGCCACACUGGAACUGAGACACGGUCCAGACUCCUACGGGAGGCAGCAGUGGGGAAUAUUGCACAAUGGGCGCAAGCCUGAUGCAGCCAUGCCGCGUGUAUGAAGAAGGCCUUCGGGUUGUAAAGUACUUUCAGCGGGGAGGAAGGGAGUAAAGUUAAUACCUUUGCUCAUUGACGUUACCCGCAGAAGAAGCACCGGCUAACUCCGUGCCAGCAGCCGCGGUAAUACGGAGGGUGCAAGCGUUAAUCGGAAUUACUGGGCGUAAAGCGCACGCAGGCGGUUUGUUAAGUCAGAUGUGAA